rnacentral:misc_RNA from 1 species
GAUGAAGAACGUAGCGAAAUGCGAUAAGUAAUGUGAAUUGCAGAAUUCAGUGAAUCAUCGAGUCUUUGAACGCACAUUGCGCCCCCUGGUAUUCCGGGGGGCAUGCCUGUCCGAGCGUCAUUGCUGCCCUCAAGCACGGCUUGUGUGUUGGGCCCCCGCCCCCCGGUCCCGGGGGGCGGGCCCGAAAGGCAGCGGCGGCACCGCGUCCGGUCCUCGAGCGUAUGGGGCUUUGUCACCCGCUCUGUAGGCCCGGCCGGCGCCCGCCGGCGACCCCAAUCAAUCUUUUUCAGGUUGACCUCGGAUCAGGUAGGGAUACCCGCUGAACUUAAGCAUAUCAAUAAGCGGAGGA